ACAUUGGAGCAUAAAGUGUAAUGGAUUUUGUUAUUGUCCAAGGUUCCAGAAACCGUCAGGGAACAGACGGGAUCUGCACCUUGCUAAAUUGACAUGGGAAGUGAAUCGGCGGCUCAAGCUGGAGGAGAUAGAGAGAGAGGUGUGCCGGGAACUACGUCUGGAGCGUUCCUCCAAGAUACCAAUCUCCCACAGAAGCGAGAUUAUGAAAACUGUGGAGUGGGUCCCACCUCCAGACUCUUAUGGACCAGGUCCACGUGACCUCACUUCCCCAUCAGGAGCAUCAAGUGACGGUUUCUACACAUCUUCUAUGACUUUUGACUCUUUUGACUCAUUGUUCAUGGAGACCCCAGAGGAACAACAUGUGAUGGUGAGCUGUACAAAGAACAAAAUGUCUGUUUAUCCUCCUUAUUCUGCAGUGGCUAUGCACAUGAUUUGUAUGGUUCAUUAUGAUUCUAUUGAAGAUUACAAACAAAAUGCAGAUUAUCUUUGAUGUCAA
ensembl:lncRNA